AAAAAGUUCACAUGAUUAUUGGCAUUUUAGAGCAUACUGGGCUCACUUCCCACCCCACUCCAAUUCAGCUCACAUGCCAUCUCCCCCAGCAAACCUUAACUCCUCACCCCAAUUCUGUAUUAGAUGCCUCCACUGUAUCCCAUGUGUUUCUAAGCUCCUGCUCAUACCUUUGGCAAAGGCCUCACCACAUUGCACUGCAAUUCUGUGUACUUAUUAUACUCAUUCACUAGAUUGUGAGCUCUUUAGAGCCCUCUCUGAACAUGUAUUUGAAUUCUGAGCAUGUAGCACAGUGUUCGCAGAGUGGAGGUGCCCAGCAAAUGUGUGUGAAGGAAGAAUAAAGGAAUGUCCAGUUCUUCUUUGUAUCACUCAUAGCCCUGUGCACAGUGCUUUGCACAGAGCAGGCACUCAAAAGAUACUUGCUGAAUAAAUGAAAGAAAAGAAAAGAAAAGAGAAAACAAAAAGUGUACUUAUUUACAGAGAGGCAAACAGUAAACAAAAUUGUAUGUUGAAUUUAUCAAAUAAAGUCUUAAUAUAAAUGGUGUAAAUGUAUCUUUAUAGGUAGAUAAGAAAGGAAGAUGACUCAUAUUUUAUAACAAGGGUAGAACUGUUAGAUUUCCUCAAGAGGUUGUCUGGCUCGUUUCUACCAUCCAGUCAACUCUUAAGCCUCCCAACUAGGUAAGUGUUCAUUCAUUUUAAACAUCUUCAAAGUCUGUAUUAUGUUCCUUGGUAGCCUUAGACAGGCUUAAUAAUAUUUUAUAAUCAAGAAGUUUCUUCCAAUGUAAGAUCAAGCUUCCCCUUACUACUUUAAACUAAUUUUCUUUUGUUCUUUCUUCUACAGGGAUGGAGAACUGGUCAGCAUUCUAUUUUUAUAUGUUAUUCUUAUUCUUAUAAGCAUUCUUAUGAUAAGUAUACUAUAAGACAGUUAUUAAGUCACCGCUUAGCUUUCUAUUUUCCUGGCUAAGCAACCAAACUCCUUUAAUCUUUUCCCAUAUGAUCUAUUUUACAUCCCAUAAAGAUUUGUCACUUUUUUUUACAGACCUUUCCCAAUUUCACACUUAACUUUAAAAUGUGGAAACUCGAAGUUGUCAAAAUAGUUUAAUAAAAGCUUAUACAAUGCCAAAUAUAACAAAUAAUUAUUUCCUAAUUCCCUAAAUCCCAGUAUCAUAUGAGUUUUACAGCAUGCUUUGCUAAUAGCCAACAACCUCUCACCCCAUCUCCAUCCCUGUUAGUCCUCAUGCGCUCCCUGAAUGGGUGGUGUUUGAAGAGGGCCUGGCACCCACACUUUCUCUAUGGACAAUGUUCAAAGGUGCCCUCAAUGCAUGCAACAUUCUCUGGGUCUGCCCUCACCAGCUCACUGAACUGGGGCUUCAGGAAAUGGAGCCUGUUCAGGGUAUACUCCAUUUUAAUUUUCUGUAGUCCUGGCCACAGAAGAGCUAAACGUGCCUUAUGCAGAGCAAAGCUAGCCUUUUCAGCCUUGUUUUAGAGCAAGCUUGUCCAACCUGUGGCCUGUGGACCACAUGCAGUCUAGGAUGGCUUUGAAUGUGACCUAUAUACAAAUUCAUAAGCUCUCUUAAUUAAACAUGAUUUUUUUUUGUAAUUUUUUUUUUUUUUUUUUUUUUGCUCAUCGGUUAUCAGUCAGGGUUAGUGUAUUUUAUGUGUGGCCCAAGACAAUUCUUCUUCUUCCAUUGUGGUCUGGGGAAGCCAAAAGAUUGGACACCCCAUUUUUAGAGUGUGCACCACUCUGCUAACUGUCAUACCUGCGCUCAGAAAAUCUUCCUCCCUCUGCUGACAGUAUAGUUUUUCUGUCUCUCUCAGGAUAUAACCUUGAAUUUGUUCCACAGUUUUGAAAUGUGAUUUAUAUAAUUUAUUAAGAUCAUUUUGAAUUCUAGAUCUAGCAUUCCAAGUGUUUGUAACUCCUGUUAGCUUAGUGUAAUCUCCAAACUUAAUCAGUAUGCCUUUAAUUCCGUCACCCAGGAAAUAAUGAAAAACGCAGAAUGGAAUCUAACACAGGCACCAGGACUGAAUCCUGAAUAUCUCCAAUCAACAGGCCCCUAUUGGCUUAUGGUUUACUGAUUGGAACUGUUCCUGGACUUCUACAUGAAAAGGACCACCACUGCUGGGCUCUAGAAGAAAGCUGUGAAGUUCUUUUCUUCUCUUCCCCUAACCCCUUUUCAUUUCUCUCAAAGGAGGAGGAGUGCAGAUCUGAAACUGGAUUCUGGGAUAGUAACUGAGCAACAUAUUCUAGGGAUGAAACUUUAGAAAGAGUCUGAAGUGGAGAUGCAUUCAUAUACCACAUUCAAGGCAAAGAAACAAAUGGACACACCAAUUAAGAACAAGUAGAAAGGCGAUAAUGAAAGGCAAGAAAGACAAGACUCUACCAAGGAAAAUCCAGUCUGUUCUUUAGAUGGCACACACAGAAGCAAUAACAAUAUUUUACAAAUGACAAUAGAUAUCUGAUGACUGCAAAAAUUUAAUACAUAUACUUGAUGGAAAAAUAAAUUUCAUAACAUCCUAUACUAAUGUAAUCCAUACACUGAAUAAAAACUCUAUCUUCAACUUUCUAUUAAGAUAGAUAUGCCAGAAUCUCAAGACAAUAAAAUCUCACUAGAGAGUAUCAUAUACCAGAACCUCAAACUGCUUUCAGCAUCUCCAC
rnacentral:lncRNA from 10 species